ensembl:lncRNA
AAAAUAAAAAGUGCCUUUCUCUUAACAAUUUCCUUCAAACCCCAAACGUUUAAUGAACCAAAAGAAAUUCUUGAGUGAACCAUAACAAGAAUAUGCUAAGAAAAUAACUAAUAAUAUUUUUUUUUUUAAAAAAGAAAAAUAUAUAAAUAUGAGUCUAAAUUGUAACACUUGUCACCAACUCAGUGACUACUUUAAGUUGAGCUCUGUUGUCCCAUUAACAAUAUUCCACUGUAUACAGUCUUACUUAAGGUCUUUCAUUCAACGUCACCAAUCCUCCGUCCUUCGAUAUAUCCAUGAGGACCCCGGAAAAAGGCCCGCUUCCCAGCGCGUCUGGCUUGUUCAAUUUGCGGCCACAGCCGCCUCCUCUCUUCCCAAUCCUCCCGCGGCAGUACCUCAGCGAAGUGGAAACCCCCGUUCUUACAGACAGCCGAGUCUUUGGUGCAACGCCAAAUCUCCUCUUUCACAUGUCUCAGAGCACCACAUCCACAGAUUCUUCAAGCUUUGACAUCAUAUCAGACCCCAGCCAUGCACAAGUCAUCGGGAUCCUUGGCAGCAACAUCACCCUUCAAUUUACAUUCAACGUUAGCAUUACUGAAAACAGUCAAAUUGGAAUUUAUACAACAGACGAGAAAAAGAUUGAUGAUUUUAAAAGUGGGAAAAGUUCCUUUGAUAUUUACCCCCAAAAGAAUUCUGUAUUUUACCACAUCACAAAUCUCACUCUAAGCCACAGUAACACCUACUGGGCCAGUUUACUUGGUGUCAUCCCAAUAAAAAGUAAUGAAGUGCAGCUGUUCAUUGAAGAGAAGAAUACACACAGUACAGCCACUGAAACACCCGCUGAGCCUCCACAGUACAAUAGUAAUGCCAUCAUCACUGUUAUCCGUGUCUUCGCCUUCAUCACAUCUUUGGCCUUGGUUGUGGGAGUCUGCAAGAUCUACCAUCUGAAAUGCAUCAAGUCCAGAAACUAAACAGCCACAGAUGGUUAACAGAAGAAAGACGAGACUGAUGGAGCAGAUCCGUGUGUCGUAUACUUUCACACUGGCAUCAAGUUCAUAAAUAACAUAAUGAUUUAUCUGACACAUCUUAAAGAUCUUUUUUUUUCCCUUUUCAGUUUUUUUUUUAAAUGCUUUUUAUAAGCAGAAAAAAAUAAAUACUAGCUUCUAUUAAAUAAAAGCAAAAGUAAACAUGGAAGUGUUGCAGAGGGUCUAAAUACCUUUAGAUGAAAUGAUUUGUUAACAUUUUAUUUUUGGGCUUUUACAUUUGAAACUAUUCUGUAGAAAACCUUCAAUGCAGUGGAUGACAUCAGAG